UACGUAGGGGGCUAGCGUUGUCCGGAUUUAUUGGGCGUAAAGGGCUCGUAGGCGGCCAACUAAGUCAGACGUGAAAUCCCUCGGCUUAACCGGGGAACUGCGUCUGAUACUGGAUGGCUAGAGGUUGGGAGAGGGAUGCGGAAUUCCAGGUGUAGCGGUGAAAUGCGUAGAGAUCAUGAGGAAGACCAGUGGCGAAGGCGGGUCUCUGGACAGUUCCUGACACUGAGACACGAAGGCCAGGGGAGCAAACGGG
rnacentral:rRNA from 1 species